UACGAAGGGGGCUAGCGUUGUUCGGAUUUACUGGGCGUAAAGCGCACGUAGGCGGAUUGUUAAGUCAGGGGUGAAAUCCUGGAGCUCAACUCCAGAACUGCCUUUGAUACUGGCAAUCUAGAGUCCGGAAGAGGUGAGUGGAACUCCUAGUGUAGAGGUGGAAUUCGUAGAUAUUAGGAAGAACACCAGUGGCGAAGGCGGCUCACUGGUCCGGUACUGACGCUGAGGAACGAAAGCGUGGGGAGCGAACAGG
rnacentral:rRNA from 1 species